CAUGAAAAUAAAGAAAUUAUUUGAGGAACAGCACCCAAACCGAAAAACAAAAGUGAUCUAUACUGUUCUAGAACAGAACCUCUAUUUUAAAAGCAUGGGAAACAGUUAAUGACGUUAAUUUACAUUCAGGGCAUUUUUUUCUGUCCCACAAAAAUGAGCAAAAAAAAAAAACACCUAUGCAAAAGCCCUCACUCUGUCAAAAACAAUGUUAUAUCAAAGUACUGCCUUUGAUUUGACAGCCUACACAUGCGCAGUUUACCGUUAGAUCCGAUAACGUGUUUUUACGCAUGAGUUUAGAUCGGGGAUUUCAAUUCAUGCUUAUCGUCAUACUGUUCUGUCUUUGGCUGUAUUCUUUUCGAGUCAAAACCCUUCGCCGGAGACCGUAUCCCAUAACAUAUUGCGACACAAAAAUCUCUGUAUCAACGAUGGACAGAAGUUCACACUUGGAAUAACCUUGUGAAAUGUAAUUAUUACGUGGACAGCUGGCAACGGAUGUGUUCAUUUCACUCCAUAGCAUCGGUUUGGCAGGACAUAACAGUCAUAUCCUACUGGUUUGGAGCUCGUGUUGCACCAUUGCAUAUGAAGACAAUUUUUUUAAAUGAUCAAUUAAAAAUAAAUCGGUGACAACUUGAUCAAGCCUAUGAAUAUGCAAAACUGUUUACAGAACCAUUGCACAUGAAUAAAGGUAGUUGUGGUUCUCACAACUUGAACCAGCACUCGAAUCUGAGCAGUGAGUUUAGUCAGGAGAUUUUUCAGCAGUGCGCAACAUCCCUGUUAGAUAGAGAAUAAAGUGUGGAUCUACUUCUGUCAUACAGAAUUGUCAGCUCAUUCUACAAUAAAGAUGUGGGCGAUUUGUGUCCCAGGGUGUGUGCAAGUUUUUAUUCCUGCCCAGCACAAACACCUUGUUCAACUAUCCAUGGUCUACAACUGAGACAACAAUGUUGGAGGUUCAUCUCCUUCAUUUGUCCCCCACUUGGGGAUGACUUAUUCUGUACAAUGGACUGUGUUCUAAAGGAUUCAUGCACAGAUACAGGAAAACCAAUAAGUGGUCAUAUUUAUUUUUAAAAAUGACAAGUGUUGAUGUCUCGCCAUUCUCCUGGUUUUGAAGCUUGGGCAUCAGGGGGCUGUAGUUCAUCUUUCUAAUACCCUUCAAGGAGAGAAAGGCAAUAAUAGUACAAUAGUGUAUUCAUUUAAUGUAAUACAUUAUUGUUUUAUAUGCAUGCAAAUAAUUCAAUUGGACAUGUUAUCCUUUACAAUAUGCCAGUGAUUGUUUUGUAUCCAAUGCAUUUAGCUUACAUUAGGAUGAAGUAGCCUAGGCCUUCUAAUCGCGUUUAUAUUGCAUCAUAUCGCCUAGCAAUAUUAGUUAUCAAUGCAUGAGUUGAAUAUAAACCAAGCUAUCUUGACCAUCAGAGUCGUUUAAUAA